rnacentral:rRNA from 1 species
GGUCCGGCGACGCUGUCGUCUCCCUCCCCUGUGUGCGGCGCACCCUGAGCGAGUCGAGAGAGAAACGACCCCCAACAACCAGCCAUCGAAAAGAGUGCGGCCCCCCCCUUUAUUUGAAAUGCCCUCCUCCUUCGUCCCCAUUCCUUCCUGGUGUGGCCUCAUGGCCGCAGCAGCGGGAGAGCGGGGCGAGAGUCGUCGUUGGGCGUUUCCGGGGGGGGUUUUUGCCAUGUGAAAAGCCAAAGUUGUUGCGGUUGAAACGCUCGUAGUUUGACUUCUGCUCCGGACCGGCGGUCCGCCUUAGCGGCGGCUACUGCCGGGUUCCGAGCUGUGUCCCCGCCGGCGCACAUGGGGUUUUUAUGCCCUUAACCGGGUGUCCCCUUGUGGCCGGCACGUUUACUUUGAAAAAAUUAGAGUGCUCAGAGCAGGCUGGUUUUUGCUUACAGCCCGAAUGGUCGUGCAUGGAAUGAUGGAACAGGACCUCGGUUCUAUUUUGUCGGUUUUUCGGAACCCGAGGUAAUGAUUAAUAGAAGCAGACGGGGGCAUUCGUACUGCGACGCUAGAGGUGAAAUUCUUAGACCGUCGCAUGACGACCUACUGCGAAAGCAUCUGCCAAGGAUGUUUUCAUUGAUCAAGAACGAAAGUUAGAGGUUCGAAGGCGAUCAGAUACCGCCCUAGUUCUAACCUUAAACGAUGCUGACUAGCGAUCCGCCGCAGUUAUUCCCAUGACCCGGCGGGUAGCUUCCGGGAAACCAAAGUCUUUGAGUUCCGGGGGAAGUAUGGUUGCAAAGCUGAAACUUAAAGGAAUUGACGGAAGGGCACCACCAGGAGUGGAGCCUGCGGCUCAAUUUGACUCAACACGGGGAAACUCACCAGGCCAGGACACCGGAAGGAUUGACAGAAUGAAGGCUCUUUCUCGAUUCGGUGGGUGGUGGUGCAUGGCCGUUCUUAGUUGGUGGAGUGAUCUGUCUGGUUAAUUCCGAUAACGAACGAGACUCUAGCCUGCUAAAUAGUCGACGGAUCUCAACCCCGUUGCCCCCGUUGUCGUUCGCGGCGAUGCGGGGCGCGGGUUCCCCGAAACCCGGUCGUCGUGCGGGCCUCCACCGUCGGUCGGUUAGCGCCGCCGGCGGCGCGCCCCGCGGCGCCGGAAACUGGCGUCCGCUUCGCAGUCUUCUUCUUAGAGGGAUAAGCGGCAGCAAAAAAUAUACUAGCCGCACGAGAGUUUGAGCCAUAACAGGUCUGUGAUGCCCUUAGAUGUUCUGGGCCGCACGCGCGCUACAAUGGAGAGUUCAGCGAGCUGGCCCUGCUCCGAGAGGAGCGGGUAACCUCGUGAAAGCUGUCCUUAAAGGGGAUUGGGGCUUGCAAAUGUUCCCCAUGAACGAGGAAUUCCCAGUAGGCGCAAUUCACCAGAUUGCGCCGAUUUAGUCCCUGCCCUUUGUACACACCGCCCGUCGCUACUACCGAUUGAAUGGUCUAGUGAGGGCACCGGACUGGCGCCCUUGGAGCCGCUACCGCCUCGGCGGGCAGCGCCCUCGGGUCGACGGAAAGGUGUCCAAGCUGGGUCAUUUAGAGGAAGUAAAAGUCGUAACAAGGUUUCCGUAGGUGAACCUGCGGAAG